rnacentral:rRNA from 1 species
CGUAACAAGGUUUCCGUAGGUGAACCUGCGGAAGGAUCAUUACCUAGAGUUGUAGGCUUUGCCUGCUAUCUCUUACCCAUGUCUUUUGAGUACCUUCGUUUCCUCGGCGGGUCCGCCCGCCGAUUGGACAAUUUAAACCAUUUGCAGUUGCAAUCAGCGUCUGAAAAAACUUAAUAGUUACAACUUUCAACAACGGAUCUCUUGGUUCUGGCAUCGAUGAAGAACGCAGCGAAAUGCGAUAAGUAGUGUGAAUUGCAGAAUUCAGUGAAUCAUCGAAUCUUUGAACGCACAUUGCGCCCCUUGGUAUUCCAUGGGGCAUGCCUGUUCGAGCGUCAUUUGUACCUUCAAGCUCUGCUUGGUGUUGGGUGUUUGUCUCGCCUCUGCGUGUAGACUCGCCUUAAAACAAUUGGCAGCCGGCGUAUUGAUUUCGGAGCGCAGUACAUCUCGCGCUUUGCACUCAUAACGACGACGUCCAAAAGUACAUUUUUACACUCUUGACCUCGGAUCAGGUAGGGAUACCCGCUGAACUUAAGCAUAUCA